UACGUAGGGGGCGAGCGUUGUCCGAAGUUACUGGGCGUAAAGCGCGCGUAGGCGGGUUCUUAAGUGAGAGGUGAAAGGUUCAGGGCUCAACCCGGACACUGCCUUUCAUACUGGGAGCCUUGAGUGCAGGAGAGGCGAGUGGAAUGGUCGGUGUAGCGGUGAAAUGCGUAGAUAUCGAUCGGAACACCCAUGGCGAAGGCAGCUCGCUGGCCUGUAACUGACGCUGAGGCGCGAAAGCGUGGGGA
rnacentral:rRNA from 1 species